CGAGCUCGUCUUCAACCUCGUCUUCGAUCUUCAACAUCCGAGCUUCAACCUCGUUUCGAACUCGUCGAAGCUUCGUCUUCAACCUCCGAGCUUCAACCUCGUCUUCUAACUCGUCGGAGCUUCGUCUUCAACCUCCGAGCUUUGUCGUCAACCUCUGAGCUCGUCUUCAACCUCCGAUCUGUUCCUCGUCGGAGCUCGAACUCGUCGAAGCCUCUCGAUUCUCGAAGCCUUUGGGAGUCUGCUUCAUCCCUGUAACAAGGUACGCCCUGCUCCGUGGAAAAGCUCUUAUCACCCCCUCGAGCCCCGUUCGCUUUCUUGCCGCCCUUUUCCUCCUCUCCCUCUUCGUCUUCGAUCAGCAUACGAUCAGGCCAGCUAGGGUUUCGGAUUCAGCCCACCCCUCCUCGGCGAUUCGAACCACUUAGGGUUUCGUUGAGCAGUUCAGAAGGAGUCACGACUACGAAGAUGCAGCAUCAUCGUGAAGAGGAGGUUGUUGAUCUUGAGUCUUUUAGCAUUAUGGCUUUAUCACCUUUAGAUGGCCGAUAUUUGCAGAAAGUCAAGGAUUUGUACCCAUUCUUUAGUGAAUAUGGGUUAAUCCGUUACCGUGUAAUGGUUGAGGUAAAAUGGUUGCUAAAAUUAUCAGAAAUACCUGAAAUCAAGGAGGUUCAAAGCUUUAGCGAGAAUGCCAGGUCUUAUUUAGAAAGUAUAGUUAGUGGCUUCAGCAAAGCUGAUGCUCUGGAAGUGAAAAAGAUUGAAAAAGUAACUAACCACGAUGUUAAGGCAGUGGAAUACUUCUUGA